rnacentral:rRNA from 1 species
AAUGGGCGCAAGCCUGAUCCAGCCAUGCCGCGUGCAGGAUGACGGUCCUAUGGAUUGUAAACUGCUUUUGUACAGGAAGAAACACUCCCUCGUGAGGGAGCUUGACGGUACUGUAAGAAUAAGGAUCGGCUAACUCCGUGCCAGCCGCCGCGGUAA